UGUCCGAUUCCUGUGCCCGUAGCCUGUCCAGUUUCCUCCGCCCCGUCCUGCACUUGCACGUCCCGCGUCUUGGAGAUCUGCUCUGGGGGCGUGUCCUAGAAUCAGAUUAGCAGGGAUGGCUCUGCAGUGUUAACUAGUCCCUCUCCCGCUUCAUUCGGCACUGUUUCCUGAAAAAUCAGCCUGCCUCAUUUCGCUAGCUUCACAGAGUUCCUAAGAAGUGCGUUACAGUCUACGCUCCUAAUAUUCUUUGACUUCUGAGAAUAGAAUUGUUCCUUUUGAAGGCACCAAUAGCCGUCAUCGAGCUGUAUCUUCCGGUUAGGAUCUUGGGGAGGCCUCUAGAAAUAUCGGGGUUAAGCUGGCGUUUCUCAGUAGUAUUCUGGGGGAAACCAUCUCGUGUCCUCUCUGUGUCCUUUUCCCUCUUGCUCUUAAGGACACGAACCAGUUAGAUUAGCCACAGGUUCCUCCCGGAGAGGAAGUAAAAGCUCCAGGAGAUACAGACAGGAGGCGAUCAGCCUGGCUUCCUAGCAGCCCCCACCUCUUCCAUCUUCUGAUUUAUCACCUGCCUCUGCUUGUCCAGGAUUGGGUUCUUGACCUAAUGUGCUCUUACUCUCAUCAACUUGCUUGCCCUGUUUUGACCCAGUGGUUGUACGGAGUGGGCCCAGAGUCUGAUUAUUGGGUGAGAGGGGUAGACGGUCUUUGAGGAUGGAUCCUGAUGUUGGUGGAAGAUAUUGAGACAAGAGCAGCGUUCCUUGUGCCUGUACCUAGCUUGGUGACAAACCGGAGCUGCUUCCAGGACCAUGCUGGGUUCAGGGGUCCCAGGCAGUUUUGUGUUGAUGAUAGAGUCGUGUCCCAGUUGCUUGGUGGGGCUCCUCCUUGACUCUCCUACGUAGACAAGUGGCCAUGUCUUUUGGUUUUUGGUCUUGUUAUGGAGACCAGACUAGCCUUGACCAGACUCUUUUUCUGCCUUUGUUUCUGGAAUGCUGGAUUACAGGUGUGUAUAGCUAUGGCUGGAAAUAUCCUACCUGUAUUGAUUUUUUUUUUUAUCUCAUUCUGCAGUCUAAACUAACCUGGGAACUCACUGUGUAGCUCAGGCUGGCUCAGACUCCUGCCAGCACUCCUGAGCGCUCCACCAUUUGUGUGUCACCACACAUGGCUUCCUAACUGUAUUGAGUAUGUCCUUACAGAAGCUAUCUUCUCUGCUCACAGUGUUACUUGAUUUCCUCUUUGGGGAACCUUCCAAGCCCAGUCCUCCAUGGCUUGGAGGAGCUUUUCGUUCCUGCUUCCCCCCCCCCCCCCCAAGCACUGACGGUGUGGUUUAUGCCCAGGACAGAUGAGACCAUCAGGACAACCGCUAUGGUCAGGAAAGGGUACCUGGACUGGAACUUCAUCCUACAGGAGGUCUAUAGGAGGUCUACAAGUGUCUUUGACCAGGGCUUUGCUCCGAGCUUUACUUAUCUGGAAUCUCCAGAGGUCACCUUGAAGACCAGCAUGCUAUGGCUACGUACGGGAAUAGCAGCUCCGGCCUGCUCUGCAUUUCCAGAUGUGUUUCUUCCCUUCAUCCGGCACAUGUGCUGCUGUCCAGCCCGUGUGCUCAUGCCAUUCCCAAUGUUGGAGUACUGUCUCCAUUCCAGAUCCUGCUCCUCUUCUAGUACCGCCAGCUCCCUGGAGGCGUGCAGGGGACCCACAGCUGCAGCUCUACCCAUUGGUACUUUCCUGCCGUUGUUUCCUGCCCCUACACAAUCCCUGCCAUGCAGUUGGCCUGAAGAUCAGGCUGCUGUCUUGGAGUAUGUGUUUCCUGCUCCAUGGAGCCCAUCUCUGACAGCUGCAAGCUCUCACACAAAGCUUGAUGGCAGCUGCAAAUGACCUGAAGGGACUGUCACCUUUCCUGUUGAGGUGUAAGCUAGUGGUUCUAACUCAACAGUUCUCAACCUAUGGGUUGAGACCCCUUUGGGGGUGGAAUGAUUCUUUCAUUCAUAGGCGUUGCCCAAGAUCAUCAGAAAACACAGAUACUUACAUUACAGUUCACAACAGUAGCAAAUUACAGUUAUGAAGUAGCAACAAAAGGAAUUUUAUGGUUGGAGGUCACAACAUGAGGAACUGUGUUAAAGGGCUGCAGCGUCAGGAAGGUCUAUCUGCUCUGACAGGAUAGCAGCAGGCAGGUAGAGGUUUAUCAAUCUUGGGGUCACAUUGCCCCCAUUGCUUAUAAGUUUGUAUUUUGUGACACUGUUAAUAUAAUAAAAGGUACCCCUUUGUGUGUGGGUAUCUUUUAUUCAAGGAAUUAUUUCUUUCAGCAUUGACUAGGAAAUCAGGACUUCUUAAACAGGUCACAUUAGCUAGAAGGAACUUCAGGAACAGACAACAGCAAAGUGAAGAGACUCUGCGAGGCCGCUGGGGAGUGGCUGCCUUUGAGGUGGCCUGAGGCAGGAGGGCAUCCGACUACAGUUUCUCCCUUUUAAAGAUGACCUCUCUCUUGUAAGAGAAGGUUCAGAGGAUGGUUUGCUCCAGGGAAUGUUGUCUUGGAACAAGAGGGCCUCAGCACAGAGUCUUGUGGAGACAACCUGGGGCUCCGUCACGUCCACAAGCUGUAGAGCUAUCAUGAGCUGCCAUAUGACUUGUGUCUGUGCUCAGCGUUGCCUUCCCAAGUCACCUUCAAGUGAUAAACACCGGAGAUAGAUAGAGAAUGUAUUAGUAACCUCGGGCUCUGCUAUAGUUAAUUAAAUAUCAGAGGAAACAUUCACGUAACCAGAAAAGUCUCACUUUUGACUAUUACAGCAAAACUUUCAGAAUUUGUUAGCUUAUCAUGUCCUGACUGUGAAAGUUCUUGUAACCAAACGUCUGAACCUGCUGUGUCCCAGGUACCAAUGUAGAUGCUGCUUGAAUAGUCCAUCUUCUCACUCCUCAGAGUCCCAUGUUCCCUAAAAAUACUAAAGAAGUCCUGGGUGGUACCCCAGGCGCUGGUCCACACUGACCUGGGUGGUGCCUAGGACAUGCAUUUAGAUGGAGAGGCACAGGCAUUCCUGCAAUGAGUCUGAUCUCUCCCGCUCACCUCUCAGAGCCAGCUUAGGCUCCCUGGCCCUGGCUGCCCACCCCGGAGAGCAAUGUGUCUAGCAUAAUGCAGGCGUUCUACACCCGAUGACUGACAGCCCUCUUUCUGCCUCUGCCAACUUGGGAAGGGGUGCCUUGUAAUUUCCAUUUAAGCUUCCUGUGCUUCCUGGCACCUCCAGCCCUGCUCUCCUUCCCCUAGCUUAUCCUCCCAAAGCUGGAUCUAUAUAUGUGAAUAUGCUGACUUCAGACACCCCAGAAGAGGGCAUCAGAUCCCAUUACAGGUGGUUGUGAGCCACCAUGUGGUUGCUGGGAGUUGAACUCAGGACCUCUGGAAGAGCAGUCAGUGCUCUUAACCGCUGAGCCAUCUCUCCAGCCCUGCGGAUUCACUUCUGAGCUCCUUCUUUGUCCCUCUCUCAAGUGGAAGCCCAUACUUGUGUCAAGACUUCUGUCUUAGUUAGGGUUUUACUGCUGUGAAGAGACACCAUGACCAAGGCAACUCUUAUAAGGACAACAUUUAAUUGGGGCUGGCUUACAGGUUCAGAGGUUCAGUCCAUUAUCAUCAAGGCAGGAACAUGGCAGCAUCCAGGCAGGCAUGGUGCAGGAGGAGCUGAGAGUUCUACAUCUUCAUCUGAAGCAGAAUACUGGCUUCCAGGCAGCUAGGAUGAGGGUCUUAAAGCCCACACCCACAGUGACACAUCUACUUCCACAAGGCUACACCUCCCAGUGGUGCCACUCCCAGGGCCAAGCCUAUAGAAACCAGCAUAAGCUCUGACCCCUGCCUCUGUAUGGCUUUGCUGUAGCCCAUGAUGGCCUGGAACUCAAAUCCUGCUGCUCUAGUCUCCUGGUGCCCUCAUGCCUAGCUAAGGUUUCGCUCUUCCAUCGCUUUCCUUGCUGUAUCACAUCCAACAGGGUGUCCCCGGAAAGCCUGACAGGAAGCUGACUCAGACACUUUUGGGCUGUUUCUCAUUUAAACAGUCUGGAGGAAAGCAUCUCUGGCUGGCACGAGAGCCAGCCCCAUGCAGCCAUGAGGCUCUUUCUAGAUCACUGUCUUGCCCUCCCCAGCGUAAGCCCUUCUCGUCAUGGUCCAGGGUGGCUGAUGAAGCUUGAACCAGCAAAUCUGCAUCGCUUUGUGUUCAGCCCAGUGUUUCUGUGGCUUUGGUUUUGGUCCAAAAUCGAAUGUGGACUUCCUCCGCUGACUUCUUGAUAAAAUAAGCUCGGUGAGCAGCCAUCAGAAGCGGCCUCUGUUGACACCUCUGCUGGCCCUGUGUUGUCACCAUUCUGUCUGCUCUCAGCCCCUUUUCUAAAACACACCCCAUCUUUCCCGUCUGCUGUGUAUGUCUUUUGUGGCCCAUACUCCUUUGUGUAUCCACCCAACAGGUAUUGAACGCUUACCCUGAAUAAGGGCUGCUCUGGGUUUCUGUGAGCCGUAGCAAAAGGACAGCCCUCUGGGAACUCACUCUGAAGUCUUGGAAAUGUGUGUGGGAUGGACUCUAAACAAGUAAGCAAGAGAACAGGUUUCACGGAGAAAAGCAAAGCAGGACAAGGAGCCAGGGGCUGUGCAGAUGUUCAGGGUGGGGACUUGGCUGUCGUGUGCAGUGGCCAGGGAAGGCUCACUGGUAAGGAGAUGAGGGAGCAGAGUCUGAGGGGAGGGGAGAGGGAACGCGCUGUGGGAGCAACUUCUUCAGAGAAGAUGAGAAGAGGGGGCUGAGGUGCUAGUCUGCCCGGAUGUUUGAGAAAAUAACUGACCUGUGGACUUGUUUGUAGUCUCUCUCUCCCUGCUAGAAUAUCCCUAGAAGGCAGAUAUGACCUCCUUCAUCUGUCAGGUUUUAGGAACCCACAAAUGACACCUCCAUUCCUGAGUCUAAAAUGACCAGUACCCCUUAGUCUGCUACACAAGCAGGACAGCCACUAACCUUCCUACACGGAUGGGCCAGGGACAUUGACACACACACACACACACACACACACACACACACACACACAAAGACACACAGACACAUACACAGACAGACAGACA